GUACACUCCUGCGGGAGGCAGCAGUGGGGAAUAUUGGACAAUGGGCGCAAGCCUGAUCCAGCCAUGCCGCGUGAGUGAUGAAGGCCCUAGGGUUGUAAAGCUCUUUCACCGGUGAAGAUAAUGACGGUAACCGGAGAAGAAGCCCCGGCUAACUUCGUGCCAGCAGCCGCGGUAAUACGAAGGGGGCUAGCGUUGUUCGGAUUUACUGGGCGUAAAGCGCACGUAGGCGGACUAUUAAGUCAGGGGUGAAAUCCCGGGGCUCAACCCCGGAACUGCCUUUGAUACUGGUAGUCUUGAGUUCGAGAGAGGUGAGUGGAAUUCCGAGUGUAGAGGUGAAAUUCGUAGAUAUUCGGAGGAACACCAGUGGCGAAGGCGGCUCACUGGCUCGAUACUGACGCUGAGGUGCGAAAGCGUGGGGAGCAAACAGGAUUAGAUACCCUUGUAGUCCC
rnacentral:rRNA from 1 species